rnacentral:rRNA from 1 species
UACGGAGGGUGCGAGCGUUGUCCGGAAUCACUGGGCGUAAAGGGCGCGUAGGCGGUUGGGGAAGUCCGUGGUGAAAGCUCGUGGCUCAACUACGAGUCGGCCAUGGAUACUCCUUGACUUGAGCACUGUAGAGGCAGAUGGAAUUCCGGGUGUAGCGGUGGAAUGCGUAGAGAUCCGGAAGAACACCGGUGGCGAAGGCGGUCUGCUGGGCAGUAGCUGACGCUGAGGCGCGACAGCGUGGGGGAGCAAACAGG